GGGGAAUCUUGCACAAUGGGGGAAACCCUGAUGCAGCGACGCCGCGUGAGUGAUGAAGCCCUUCGGGGUGUAAAGCUCUUUCGACAGGGACGAUAAUGACGGUACCUGGAGAAGAAGCUGCGGCUAACUACGUGCCAGCAGCCGCGGUAAUACGUAGGCAGCAAACGUUGUUCGGAGUUACUGGGCGUAAAGAGUGCGUAGGCGGUUCGCCAAGUUUGGUGUGAAAUCUCCCGGCUUAACUGGGAGGGUGCGCCGAAAACUGGCGGGCUUGAGUGUGGGAGAGGGAAGCGGAAUUCCUGGUGUAGCGGUGAAAUGCGUAGAUAUCAGGAGGAACACCGGUGGUGUAGACGGCUUCCUGGACCACAACUGACGCUGAGGCACGAAAGCGUGGGUAGCAAAC
rnacentral:rRNA from 1 species